rnacentral:rRNA from 1 species
UGGGGAAUAUUGGACAAUGGGCGCAAGCCUGAUCCAGCCAUGCCGCGUGAGUGAAGAAGGCCUUCGGGUUGUAAAGCUCUUUUACCAGGGACGAUAAUGACGGUACCUGGAGAAUAAGCCCCGGCAAACUUCGUGCCAGCAGCCGCGGUAAUACGAAGGGGGCUAGCGUUGUUCGGAAUUACUGGGCGUAAAGCGCACGUAGGCGGAUUGUUAAGUCAGAGGUGAAAUCCCGGAGCUCAACUUCGGAACUGCCUUUGAUACUGGCAAUCUAGAGUCCGGAAGAGGUUAGUGGAAUUCCCAGUGUAGAGGUGAAAUUCGUAGAUAUUGGGAAGAACACCAGUGGCGAAGGCGGCUAACUGGUCCGGUACUGACGCUGAGGUGCGAAAGCGUGGGGAUCAAACAGGAUUAGAUACCCCCGUAGUCCCUGAGCGGGCUGGCAAGGCGCAU